UCACUUCAGCAGUACACAUACUAAACUUGGAAUGGUAUGGAGUAGAUUAGCACAACCCCUGAGCACAAGUGGCACACAGAUUCUCGAAGCGUUGCAUACUUUU
rnacentral:snRNA from 1 species